rnacentral:rRNA from 1 species
AUUGAACGCUGGCGGCAGGCCUAACACAUGCCAGUCGAGCGGAUGAAGGGAGCUUGCUCCUGGAUUCAGCGGCGGACGGGUGAGUAAUGCCUAGGAAUCUGCCUGGUAGUGGGGGAUAACGUCCGGAAACGGGCGCUAAUACCGCAUACGUCCUGAGGGAGAAAGUGGGGGAUCUUCGGACCUCACGCUAUCAGAUGAGCCUAGGUCGGAUUAGCUAGUUGGUGGGGUAAAGGCCUACCAAGGCGACGAUCCGUAACUGGUCUGAGAGGAUGAUCAGUCACACUGGAACUGAGACACGGUCCAGACUCCUACGGGAGGCAGCAGUGGGAAAUAUUGGACAAUGGGCGAAAGCCUGAUCCAGCCAUGCCGCGUGUGUGAAGAAGGUCUUCGGAUUGUAAAGCACUUUAAGUUGGGAGGAAGGGCAGUAAGUUAAUACCUUGCUGUUUUGACGUUACCAACAGAAUAAGCACCGGCUAACUUCGUG